ensembl:lncRNA
CAGAAAAUGUACCCUGGCAGCAAAUGGGUGAAAAGGCUGGAGGAGAAAGUCAUCGCUCCGUUAUUGGCCCUUGGACUCCCCUGGCAUCGCAUGUACAGCAUGAAGUUUUCAGCAAUGAAGUUUUCCAGAACGAGAACCAAGCCCUGAGGGAGGAGAACCAAGCCCUGAGGGAGGAGAACCAAGCCCUGAGGGAGGAGAACCAAGCCCUGAGGGAGGGGAGCCAUGCACGAGCAGCUUCGGGUGACAGCGGCUCGCUUCAAGAGCAGGUGAAGCUAUUUGGGACAACGCUGAAGAUGUUUGCUCGCACUGGGCAAUCAGGUGCAGAUCAGACCCUAGUGCUGCGACGUCUUGGAGAGUUUGGCGAUGUUGUGCGUAGCAUGGAAAACAAAAUGGACACUAUGCUGCAACAUUUCAGUGCCAAUGUGUCUGUUGGAGAGCUAUCCCUGCCAGGGGAUGUUACUCCCCCUAGACACCCAGGAAGAUUUGGUGUUUCUUGACAGCAUUUUGAGGGAGGAUAAAGAGCUCCAGGAACGAUUUGUGUGUUGCUUUCGUUUAUAAGGCCGUAGGGUAAUCUAAAAAGUCAAAUUAAGUUUGUACACUGUAUAUUCUACAGUCUAAAUCCACAGCCUGUCACAUUUUAUAUUUAUGUAUGAGAAGCUUGCGAGAAAUGUAAUUUAACACAUUUUCAGCUUCGGUUUUUGGCUAUCAAAUGUGGGAGGGACCUGAAGACAACAGUGUGGAGAAUGCUUCAGAGUAUUUUCUCUAAUAACCUUG